GACUUACUACUGUGCUGUGGACACAUGUGGACGCCUUUUAUUUGGAGAUGGGACUAAAGUGGACGUUGCACAAUCAACACAUUUUGGAUUUAUCAUCAUGGUGAUUUUAAUCGUCUGCUUGGUUAUUUCUACUGUUGGAAAUGUUUUCCUCCUCUGCAAACAAAAAGCACGUAAACAACAUGGAGGAUUGGAGAGCGCUGUUUCAGAAGCCAGAAAAGAUAAUGCAUCACGGCAAGAACACAACACCGCCGAUGCUGAGAACAAAUUAAACUAUGCUGCUCUAAACUUUUCUGCAAGAAAACCAAGAGGAAGAAAGAAGAGAGAGUUUUCUGAGGACAGCGUGUACGCUCAGGUGAAACUCUGAUGCUGUUAAUAAAGUCGAGCUUAAACUCUAAAUCUGCAUCAUGUAGAUUUUAUUAUUUACUAAACCCACUGGCCAUCUAUCAAAACCCACUGGCCUUCCAUCGGAACCCACGGGCCCACAAUCAAAACCUACUGGUCCACCAACAAAACCAGCUGGCCCACCAUCAAAACAAACAGGCCUACCCACCAACAAAAUCCACUGGUCCACCAACAAAACCUACUGGUCCACCUACAAAACAAACUGGCGCACAAAGAAAACCAACGGGCCAACCCUCAAAGCCUACUGGCCCACCCAUAAAAAACCCACUGGCCCACCAACAAAACCCACUGGCCCACCAACAAAACUC